AUGGUGACUCUAACAUUUCUUCAUGUUAAGAAUCAGGAACAGUAUUUAGGUGACAUUGUAGAGAUGAACUCGUCUCUGGGCUUAGUAACUGUGGUACUCUUAGUGUUUGGACAAACCCAUGGAGACUCAGUGACCCAGAUGGAAGGCCAAGUGACUCUGUUAGAAGGGGCUCCCCUGACUGUGAAUUGUACUUAUUCAGCCACAGGGUACCCCACUCUUUUCUGGUAUGUUCAGUAUCCUGGAGAAAGUCCACAGUUCCUCCUGAAAGCCGCAACAGUCAAUGGAAAGGGAAGAAACAAAGGUUUUGAAGCCACAUACCAAAAACAACCAAAUGCCUUCCACUUGGAGAAAGCCUCAGCCCACCAGGCAGAUUCUGCAAUGUACUACUGUGUGCUGGGUGACACAGUGACAGAAACUGCAGGGGGAGUUGAGCACAAACAUGGAACCUGGACCUAUUGUGAGCAACCACCAAGAAACACAGUGAUGUUUGCUGUACACUUGUGGAAAAGUUUUGAAAUCAGAAGCACUAAGUACAUUUGA